rnacentral:rRNA from 1 species
GUGGGAAACGAUGUGGGAAGGCUCAGACAGCCAGGAUGUUGGCUUAGAAGCAGCCAUCAUUUAAAGAAAGCGUAAUAGCUCACUGGUCGAGUCGGCCUGCGCGGAAGAUGUAACGGGGCUAAGUAGUAAACCGAAGCUGCGGCAAUGUGCUUUUGCACAUUGGGUAGGGGAGCGUUCUGUAAGCGGUUGAAGGUGUGUGGUAACGCAUGCUGGACGUAUCAGAAGUGCGAAUGCUGACAUGAGUAACGAUAAAGGGGGUGAAAAACCUCCUCGCCGGAAGACCAAGGGUUCCUGUCCAACGUUAAUCGGGGCAGGGUAAGUCGACCCCUAAGGCGAGGCCGAAAGGCGUAGUCGAUGGGAAACGGGUUAAUAUUCCCGUACUUCUUACAAUUGCGAUGGGGGGACGGAGAAGGCUAGGUGGGCCUGGCGACGGUUGUCCAGGUUCAAGUGCGUAGGCUUAAGAGUUAGGUAAAUCCGGCUCUUUCUAAGGCUGAGACACGACGUCGAGCACCUACGGGUGUGAAGUCAUUGAUGCCAUGCUUCCAGGAAAAGCCUCUAAGCUUCAGAUUGUAAGGAAUCGUACCCCAAACCGACACAGGUGGUCGGGUAGAGAAUACCAAGGCGCUUGAGAGAACUCGGGUGAAGGAACUAGGCAAAAUGGUACCGUAACUUCGGGAGAAGGUACGCUCUCGACGGUGAAGUCCCUCGCGGAUGGAGCUAUUGAGAGUCGCAGAUACCAGGUGGCUGCAACUGUUUAUUAAAAACACAGCACUGUGCAAAAUCGUAAGAUGACGUAUACGGUGUGACGCCUGCCCGGUGCCGGAAGGUUAAUUGAUGGGGUUAGACUUCGGUCGAAGCUCUUGAUCGAAGCCCCGGUAAACGGCGGCCGUAACUAUAACGGUCCUAAGGUAGCGAAAUUCCUUGUCGGGUAAGUUCCGACCUGCACGAAUGGCGUAAUGAUGGCCACGCUGUCUCCACCCGAGACUCAGUGAAAUUGAAAUCGCUGUGAAGAUGCAGUGUACCCGCGGCUAGACGGAAAGACCCCGUGAACCUUUACUACAGCUUGGCACUGAACAUUGACCCUACA